rnacentral:rRNA from 1 species
GAUGAACGCUGGCGGCGUGCCUAACACAUGCAAGUCGAGCGGCAGCGAGAUUUACACUGACUUCUGGAAGCUUCUAGUUGAAAGAGAAGAUUUAUUCAAGAAUUUUGUGUAAAAUGUCGGCGAGCGGCGGACGGCUGAGUAACGCGUGGGAACGUACCCCAAAGUGAGGGAUAACGCAUCGAAAGGUGUGCUAAUACCGCAUAUGGUCUUCGGAUUAAAGCCUUCGGGCGCUUUGGGAACGGCCUGCGUACGAUUAGAUAGUUGGUGGGGUAAUGGCCUACCAAGUCGACGAUCUUUAACUGGUUGGAGAGGAUGAUCAGUCAGACUUGAACUGAGACACGGUCCAGACUCCUACGGGAGGCAGCAGUGAGGAAUCUUCCACAAUGGGCGAAAGCCUGAUGGAGCAACGCCGCGUGCAGGAUGUAGGCCUUCGGGUUGUAAACUGCUUUUAUAAGUGAGGAUUAUGACAGUAACUUAUGAAUAAGGAUCGGCUAACUACGUG